GACGAACGCUGGCGGCGUGCUUAACACAUGCAAGUCGAACGGAAAGGCCUGCUUUCCCUUGUGGAUUGCGGGUACUCGAGUGGCGAACGGGUGAGUAACACGUGAGUGAUCUGCCCCCAACUUGGGUAUAAGCCUGGGAAACUGGGUCUAAUUCCCGAUAGGACUGCAGGGUGGUGCCUGUGGUGGAAAACGAUUUUCUAGUGGUUGGGGAUGAGCUCGCGGCCUAUCAGCUUGUUGGUGGGGUAAUGGCCUACCAAGGCGGCGACGGGUAGCCGGCCUGGGAGGGUGGACGGGCACAUUUGGACUGGGGUACGGCCCCGAAUCCUACGGGAGGCAGCAGGGGGGAAAAUUGGACCAUGGGCGGAAGCCUGAUGCCGCGACGCCGCGGGGGGGAUGGCGGGCUUCGGGUUGGAAACCCCCUUCGACCGGGGGGAAGCCCCCUGGUUUGAAGGGGGGUGACGGUUGUGGUAGAAGAAGCACCGGCUAACUACGUG
rnacentral:rRNA from 1 species